GCCGGGUGGGAUGGUGCACGCCUGUAAUCCCAGCAGCUCAGGAGGCUGAAGCAGGAGGAUCACAAGUUCAAAGCCAGCCUCAGCAAAAUCAAGGUGCUAAGCAACUUAGUGAGACCCUGUCUCUA
rnacentral:sRNA from 1 species